GCUCGACUCUCCAAACCUGGACUAAACUCCUGGGGCAGCUAACUUCCAGACCCACUUGGCACUCAACUCGGCCGCCCACUCGGGAAGGGAGGCGCGGGGAGAGCACGACCAAGCAGGUCGCCGAGUGUGUUACCUCUGGCUAGAGAGCGCCUCCCUUCCAUCUUUGAUGUUCUGCCCCUGGCAUCAGCACCCUUCAAUCACCCUGACUGAGAAUCUUUGAGUCACUUUUGACGCAGACUUUUCCUGAUGGAAGGGGCCCUGAACUCGUGGGGACACCCACACAUUCACUUUACAGAUGAGAAAACUGUCCCAGAGAUAGUGAGGUGACUAAGGAGGCGGUACAGAGCGUACAGCCAGGAGAGCCAGGAACAGGGACUAGAACUUGUGUGUCCCAACCCCGUGUAUCCAUGUUGGUGAAAACUAACAUUUACUGAGCUCUAUACACGUUCCCGCAUGGAUCCAGACACUUUAUAAUGCUGUCUUCAAUUGGAACGACUCUAAGAAGUUAUGAGUUCGGGGCAUACCUAGAAGAUCUUCCAUCCUCCAAGAUCUCUUUUACCAAAGUCCUGUGCUUGCUUCUUCUGAAGGGAGGAAAUAGAGACCAUGGCCACUGGAUCCGGACCCAGACCCACCAGCAGCUCUGCCACCUCCAGCCAUUCCCAGGUGCCACAGGAUACAGAAAACUGUGAUCCCCUGAGUCAUGGGGUCAGACCAGGGGCCUUGCUUAUAGGAGUCUAAAGGCCUUAUUGGAAUGCAGAGAUUCACUUCUGACCAAGGGGGAAAAAAUAAGAUAAGGGGAAUCCUGUGAUAAGGAAGAUCUGCGGGCUAAUCUGGGAACGUUUUGGGGUCAGCCUGACCCAGAACCAGGCAUCCCUACAUCUCCCGAGAGCCCAGUGAUCUUGUCUACACCCACAGCCUCACAUACUUCUUGUGUGGUGAUGAGUUCCAGAUUCAUAUCUCCAGUCCCUACCUCUGAGCACAGGCUCCACACUGGGAGUGGGACUUGAAUUUACCACCCUGAGAUCAAGACCAGAGUUAAGAAUCAGAUGCUUAGCUGACUGAGGACCCCAGGUGCUCCCUUUACUUGACUUGUAAUUUAAAUUUAAACAGCAACAUGUGGCCAGUAGCUGUCAUGUUGGACAGUGCCAGGCUAGAGAAAUCCCGAGACAAAUUUAGGAAAACGGGUUUUGGAUCACAUUGUUGGUAUUACGCUUUACCAGGUGGCACUCUUAUCUGACUUCCCAAGAGUCCGUCAUCCCCUAACUUAAUUGCAAGGAACAAUUUCCAUUCUUUGUUGGAGGAUUUACAUUGUAACUCUACCACCUUUAUAAGUACAGUAGCAUCUAGAAGUUACAGUUCUCUAUCUUUAUAAACUUUCUUAUUCUAGUUGGAACCAUGUAAGUAUAUGGUUUCCUCAAUAUAUUGCACAAAUUUUCCAGUCAUGGAAGUAUUAGUCAGUAAAUAUUUCCUUUUUCUUUCUCUCUCUCUCUCUUUUUUAAAGAUUUUAUUUAUUUAUUUGACAGAGAGAG